CGCGGCCUAUCAGCUUGUUGGUGGGGUAGUGGCCUACCAAGGCGACGACGGGUAGCCGGCCUGAGAGGGUGACCGGCCACACUGGGACUGAGACACGGCCCAGACUCCUACGGGAGGCAGCAGUGGGGAAUAUUGCGCAAUGGGCGAAAGCCUGACGCAGCGACGCCGCGUGGGGGAUGACGGCCUUCGGGUUGUAAACCCCUUUCAGCAGGGACGAAGCGAAAGUGACGGUACCUGCAGAAGAAGCACCGGCCAACUACGUGCCAGCAGCCGCGGUAAUACGUAGGGUGCAAGCGUUGUCCGGAAUUAUUGGGCGUAAAGAGCUCGUAGGCGGUUUGUUGCGUCGGCUGUGAAAUCCCGAGGCUCAACCUCGGGUCUGCAGUCGAUACGAGCAAACUAGAGUGUUGCAGGGGAGACUGGAAUUCCUGGUGUAGCGGUGAAAUGCGCAGAUAUCAGGAGGAACACCGGUGGCGAAGGCGGGUCUCUGGGCAACAACUGACGCUGAGGAGCGAAAGCGUGGGGAGCGAACAGGAUUAGAUACCCUGGUAGUCCACGCCGUAAACGUUGGGCGCUAGGUGUGGGGCUCAUUCCACGAGUUCCGUGCCGCAGCUAACGCAUUAAGCGCCCCGCCUGGGGAGUACGG
rnacentral:rRNA from 1 species